rnacentral:rRNA from 1 species
UGGGGAAUAUUGGACAAUGGGGGCAACCCUGAUCCAGCAAUGCCGCGUGUGUGAAGAAGGUUUUCGGAUUGUAAAGCACUUUCGGCGGGGACGAUGAUGACGGUACCCGCAGAAGAAGCCCCGGCUAACUUCGUGCCAGCAGCCGCGGUAAUACGAAGGGGGCUAGCGUUGCUCGGAAUGACUGGGCGUAAAGGGCGUGUAGGCGGUUUGUACAGUUAGAUGUGAAAUCCCCGGGCUUAACCUGGGAGCUGCAUUUAAUACGUGCAGACUAGAGUGUGAGAGAGGGUUGUGGAAUUCCCAGUGUAGAGGUGAAAUUCGUAGAUAUUGGGAAGAACACCGGUGGCGAAGGCGGCAACCUGGCUCAUUACUGACGCUGAGGCGCGAAAGCGUGGGGAGCAAACAGG